GAUUAACAGCUGAUCUUUGAUUACAGGAUAGCAACAACAUGGAGUGGUGCCAAAGUUUCAGAGUAGUUCUACUGCUUGGCAUCUGAAGCAGAUUGAGCAAGAUAUCCCAUUGCCCUCGUUAUAAUGCGGAAGGAACGUACUUUGACACAUAUUAUCAGUCCUGACAGUCUAUACAGGCUAAGUGCCUGCAACAAUUCUGUUGGUUUGUAGAGGUGGCUGAAAAAGCAUAUGCAGGCAGGUAUUCGUUAGAGAACACUUAAGCAAAUUUUCCACUCUUCAGGAAUGGAAUAGCAUCUUUGCCCAGGAACUGGCAGAUUUUGAAGCCCGGAGACACACUGCACCUGGUAGUAUGAUACUCGCAGGUACACAGACUUAAUGGGUCCGGUGGCUAAAAAUCAGUUACACCUGUUUUGGAAAGGCUCCAAAGCACUCCAACUCCGCAUCUUGCCACUGAUCUUGCCAGAUAAGAAAUGGGAUGCCCAGGAUGGAGGGAUAAAAGAUGCAGGCACAGAAGAGGAGCAUCCUACUGUUGUUGAUACACUGAAUAUGUUGGACAUUGCGGGAAGCAGAUAGUUGAGGCUGAGGAAUAACCCCAGUUGUACAGGAACAAACCUGGUACUGUAACAAAUCAUCAUGUUCGGUUUAAUGCAAAUCUCAUGGUAACUAGAAUUUGAAAAUACCUUUAAUUGACUUUUGUUUGCAUUCUUAAAUGGAAGUUUUCCUACAUCUGAUGCUUGCAAUCAUUUACUCUAUUUCAUUCUACCACAGUUAACUUGUUCUGUAUUAUCACACCCUCGUUGUAACAAACUUUUCACACAGCAUCAAGUACCUUCAUUACUUCCACAGUAGAGUCCCCUUCCAAAAUUAAAAUGACUAAAAUUCAGUUCAGAAAUAAAAACCUUUCACAGUAUUGUACAAGAGAUAAUAUAAGGUUUAAAUAAAUCCUGCAAUAAACACAAUAAAAACCAUUUAAUAUUUAAAGGUUUCUAAUAAAUCAAUAGGCAAAUGGUAGUGUAGUGACUUCGAGGGGAGUGGUCCAGGGUUCAAAUCCGGCCGGAUCCUUGCACAUUUUCCAGCCAUGUGGGUUAAGGGGUUAAACGUUGAGCUAGCAGCUCAGUCUCAAAAAGGAACAGACAAAAAUGCUAGAGAACAGCAAGGUUGACACUCAACGUGCCACAAGGUGCGGAAAGGAACAACAAUCAAACAAAUUAAAACCAACAUCCUGUGUUUCAGCACCUGAGUUACAGGGAAAGAUUGAACAAGUUAGGUCUUUAUUCUUUGGAGUGUAGAAGGUUGAGGGGGGACUUGAAAGAGGUAUUUAAAAUUAUGAGGGAGAUAAAUAGAGUUGACGUGGAUAGGCUUUUUCCACUGAGAGUAGGAGAGAUUCAUACAAGAGGACAUGAGUUGAGAGUUAAGGGGCAAAAGUUUAGGGGUAACACGAGGGGGAAUUUCUUUACUCAGAAAGUGGUAGCUGUGUGGAACGAGGUUCCAGUAGAAAUGGCAGAGGCAAGUUCGAUAUUGUCAUUUAAAGUAAAAUUGGAUAGGUAUAUGGACAGGAAAGGAAUGGAAGUUUAUGGGCUGAGUGCAAGUCGGUGGGACUAGGUGAGUAAGCGUUUGGCACAGACUAGAAGGGCCGAGAUGGCCUGUUUCCGUGCUGUAAUUGUUAUAUGGUUAUAUUUAAAUAUCAUCAUGCCUUCUGAGGCAAAAUUUACUUUGACACUUAAUAAUUUCAUUCCCAAUUGAAGCUUCAUAGAAUAUUUCUCCAGAAGCUUAAACAUUAGCAGUGUGAAUUACAUCUGCGCACUGUUAAUUGAAAUAAUGUGUGAUAGUUGCACAAAUGAUUCAGUGUGCCUCAGUAUAAAGUCACUAACAUUCACCUCCUAUAGCUACAUAACCACAUCUGGGAAUAUUGUAUUGCUUUGCUCUCCUUAAUUAAAGGCUUGGAGCUUUUGGUCUACAGGGGAGAAGAGCGUUAUGAAGAAACUGAUGAGACCAAGAUCAGAACCACACGAUCUUUCUGAAGGAGAGGGCAAGCUAGAGGGGUCAUUCUUAUUACUUUCUGAAGUUACUGCUCAUCAUAUCAAACAGAAAACAUUGUCUAUAUGACACAACUCAUUUCUAGAACAGAUGUUUGCUGUUCUGACCAAACACAUCACAGUCCAAAUUCAUAAUUGUUUAUUUCAAAUAGUAUGCAGAGAAGCAAUUUUCAGCUGUUAAAUGGAACAUAUACUCCACUCAAGCCAAUGCAACAUUCACUCCUACCCUAUCCAGUAACACCAAGGGUGGAACUUAAGAAUGUUUCAUCAACUGAACAAGGUGCAACUAAAAAUGCC